AACGAACGCUGGCGGCAGGCUUAACACAUGCAAGUCGAGCGAGAUCUUCGGAUCUAGCGGCGGACGGGUGAGUAACGCGUGGGAACGUGCCCUUUGCUACGGAAUAGUCCCGGGAAACUGGGUUUAAUACCGUAUACGCCCUUCGGGGGAAAGAUUUAUCGGCAAAGGAUCGGCCCGCGUUGGAUUAGGUAGUUGGUGGGGUAAUGGCCUACCAAGCCGACGAUCCAUAGCUGGUUUGAGAGGAUGAUCAGCCACACUGGGACUGAGACACGGCCCAGACUCCUACGGGAGGCAGCAGUGGGGAAUCUUAGACAAUGGGGGCAACCCUGAUCUAGCCAUGCCGCGUGAGUGAUGAAGGCCUUAGGGUUGUAAAGCUCUUUCAGCUGGGAAGAUAAUGACGGUACCAGCAG
rnacentral:rRNA from 1 species